GCCGAAACUAAACAAGAGAAAAAGAAAGAAAACAUAGUUCUAUUCGGCAAUAUUGAAGCUUAAUUGAGAUCGAGAAACGAAGAAAACGGAUUUGAAUCGGGGAAAAACGAAAGUAGUUGAAUAGUCGAUCGUGUCGGCUGAUAUCCGAGAUAAAAAUCAAGCUGCAGACACGGGGAUCAUUAGCGAAGAUCAUCACUCUAUCUACUGUCUCGGUAUUAAAAUGUUUAAAUUUUAACUUAUGGCAUGUAUAGGCUAGAUAAUAUUUUGGGAGUCGUACUUUAAUGUACUGUAUAUAUAUAAAAUUAAUAGCCAUA